ACUUUCAACAAUGGGAUCUCUUGGCUCUCGCAUCGAUGAAGAACGCAGCGAAAUGCGAUAAGUAAUAUGAAUUGCAGAAUUCCGUGAAUCAUCAAAUUUUUGAACGCAAAUUGCACUUCUUGGUAUUCCGAGGAGUACACAUGCUUGAGGGUCUAGU
rnacentral:rRNA from 1 species